UAACGCUGAGAUACGAUGUCGAGCUACUACGGUAGUGAAGUCAUUGAUGCCAUGCUUCCAGGAAAAGCCUCUAAGCUUCAGAUUGUAAGGAAUCGUACCCCAAACCGACACAGGUGGUCGGGUAGAGAAUACCAAGGCGCUUGAGAGAACUCGGGUGAAGGAACUAGGCAAAAUGGUACCGUAACUUCGGGAGAAGGUACGCUCUUAUCAGUGAAGUCCCUUGCGGAUGGAGCAGACGAGAGUCGCAGAUACCAGGUGGCUGCAACUGUUUAUUAAAAACACAGCACUGUGCAAAAUCGUAAGAUGACGUAUACGGUGUGACGCCUGCCCGGUGCCGGAAGGUUAAUUGAUGGGGUUAGACUUCGGUCGAAGCUCUUGAUCGAAGCCCCGGUAAACGGCGGCCGUAACUAUAACGGUCCUAAGGUAGCGAAAUUCCUUGUCGGGUAAGUUCCGACCUGCACGAAUGGCGUAAUGAUGGCCACGCUGUCUCCACCCGAGACUCAGUGAAAUUGACAUCGCUGUGAAGAUGCAGUGUACCCGCGGCUAGACGGAAAGACCCCGUGAACCUUUACUACAGCUUGGCACUGAACAUUGAACCUACAUGUGUAGGAUAGGUGGGAGACUAUGAAACCGCGUCGCUAGAUGUGGUGGAGUCGUCCUUGAAAUACCACCCUUGUAGUUUUGAUGUUCUAACGUUGGUCCCUGAAUCGGGAUUACGGACAGUGCCUGGUGGGUAGUUUGACUGGGGCGGUCUCCUCCCAAAGAGUAACGGAGGAGCACGAAGGUGGGCUAAACACGGUUGGACAUCGUGUGGUUAGUGCAAUGGCAUAAGCCCGCUUGACUGCGAGAAUGACAAUUCGAGCAGGUGCGAAAGCAGGUCAUAGUGAUCCGGUGGUUCUGAAUGGAAGGGCCAUCGCUCAACGGAUAAAAGGUACUCCGGGGAUAACAGGCUGAUACCGCCCAAGAGUUCAUAUCGACGGCGGUGUUUGGCACCUCGAUGUCGGCUCAUCACAUCCUGGGGCUGAAGUCGGUCCCAAGGGUAUGGCUGUUCGCCAUUUAAAGUGGUACGCGAGCUGGGUUUAGAACGUCGUGAGACAGUUCGGUCCCUAUCUGCCGUGGGCGUUGGAAAAUUGAAAGGGGCUGCUCCUAGUACGAGAGGACCGGAGUGGACGAACCUCUGGUGUUCGGGUUGUCAUGCCAAUGGCAUUGCCCGGUAGCUAAGUUCGGAAUCGAUAACCGCUGAAAGCAUCUAAGCGGGAAGCGAGCCUUGAGAUGAGUUUUCCCUGGCACUAUAAGUGUCCUAAAGGGUUGUCGUAGACUACGACGUUGAUAGGCAGGGUGUGUAAGUGCUGCGAGGCAUUGAGCUAACCUGUACUAAUUGCCCGUGAGGCUUAACCAUACAACACCCAAGGGGUUU
rnacentral:rRNA from 1 species